AUUUACUAGAGGCAAAAAUACUGUAUAGCUGCCUCAAAGGAAUUACAGAAGACUAUAAAAAAACUAUUGGAUUUUGAAAAGGAGGCAAGUCUUUGAACAAUUCUUUUUCUUUGUUUACAGAUGUAGAUAUAGACAUCACACACACGCACACACAUGCACGCACACACACAAAUAAAUAAAAUAAAAUAAAAUCAAAAUAAAAUAAAGCCUCCAGUCUGACAGCAUCCGUUUGUGUUUCACGCCACAUUUUCUGUAAUUGUAAUAAGAUGUUUUGGGAAUGUUUCACAUGUGUUUGUUUCAUAUCUGUGCUGUGUUCAGUGGCAUCCACUGGCAGGUGGAGAGACAGACAUGGUGGAACCACAGGCGGAUGGUGAACCAGCUGCAGGGUAAAGCUAUGAAGUCUACGAGGUGUGCAGGCGAUUCUGCAAGGGAUGUGAUUGAAGAAGAAGAAUUCCCAGGAAGCACAGGAGGAGGAAACAUUACAGCAAACCUCAUGACUUCUCAAACAAUGAAAAUAAACUUUAAGACUAUAAACAGAGAAGCCCUGCAGAAAGAAUAGAGACAGCCUUUUUUUUUUUUUUUUGACACUUCAUUGACUUCUUUUAGGUGUUUAAAUGUGAACUCGGGAAGCACUAAAAUUGGCCUCACAGAAAAAGGUGAGUCAUGUUUUUUUGUGUGUGCACGCAUGUGUUUAUUUGGCAAAAACAAUGUUGUUUUAAGGAUGGAUAUUAGAGAUAAAUGUAUAUUAGGGAGGCAUAGAUGAGAGACUGUUUCUGUUUGAGUAGGUGCUCAGUAAGUUGCUAAGCCUUUUCCUUUAGAGAUGGCAUGUAUGUCUCUUUCUCUCUCUCUCUCUCUCUCUCUGUGUGUGUGUGUGUGUGUUUAGAGUAGAAGGUGUGUGUCCUCCCUGACCCCUCCUGCAUCUUUACCGCCACCCAUCUGUUUACUGACUCAUGAAAAAUUCAUGAGUAUGUGUUUGGGAGCAGUGGAAUAAUUUUCAAUAUUUAGCCAGGCUAUGAAUACAGAUGAUGUUGAACUUUGGUGUAUUGCGGCGGCGUACGUGAAGGUGCGUGUAGCUGGUGUCGUGGCAGGCUGAGGUCAGUGGGCUUAAUGAGGGAGUGAAGAAGCCGCGGAUCCACACACGUGUGCUGAGUGAGACGUGUCACCUGUAGGAGACCCGUGACUGGACAGGAGGGGUGGGACAGACUAGAUCCAAAGCCAACUGCAACUAAUAUAUCAGCAGCUGUCAAUCAAACACACUCAAUAAAAGUAACCAUAUGCAAUUCAUGUAAAGUGACAACUGAAUGAAUUAGAAAACAAGCCACUGACAAAAUGCUGCAUCAUUUUAUUGCAUCUGGUUACUGUUAACAAAUAUGUUAAAUUUUCAUUUUGUAGCUAAAUUAGAACAGUGGGGGGAAAACAUAUACCCCCUAAUUUUCAUUGUUUUGAUUGAUUUAGUUAUUUUGUUGUUCUAACAAUAAUAAAAGAUUUUGCAUAUAUAGUAGUUACCUUUAGUUUAUUAUUGGCAUUACACACACAUAUGAGGUAGGAUCUGGAGCAGCUUUAUCUCUCACAAGGUGCAUGAAAACAACUGGAUACAAGAAUGUGAGGAAAGAUUCCAGCACUGCUUGUGAUAAGGAGAUUUUUAUUAUUUUAACAAUACAGAUGCGUUUUGGCCUAAGUUACACACACACACACACACACACACACACACACACACACACACGCACGUACGUAUAUAUGUGUGUGUGUGUGUGUGUGUAUAUAUAUAUAGAGAGAGAGAUAUUAUAUAUAAAUGUAAAUAUAUAUAUAUAUUAUAUAUAAAUGUAAAUUUGAAUCUAUAAAUAUGUCUUAAUAUAUAGAUACAAAACUGAAUAUAUGUAUAGAAGUAAAUCUGAAUGUAUAGAAGCAAAUCAAAAAAUACAGUUGUAAGUCUGAAUAUAUAAA
ensembl:lncRNA